UACGUAGGGUGCGAGCGUUAAUCGGAAUUACUGGGCGUAAAGUGUGCGCAGGCGGCGUUGCAAGUCGAGUGUGAAAUCCCCGAGCUUAACUUGGGAAUUGCGCUCGAAACUACGAUGCUCGAGUAUGGCAGAGGAAGGUGGAAUUCCACGUGUAGCGGUGAAAUGCGUAGAGAUGUGGAGGAACACCGAUGGCGAAGGCGGCUUCCUGGACCGACACUGACGCUGAGGCGCGAAAGCUAGGGGAGCAAACGGG
rnacentral:rRNA from 1 species